GAUGAACGCUGGCGGCGUGCUUAACACAUGCAAGUCGAACGAAGCACCUUAUUUGAUUUCCUUCGCUACUGAUUAUUUUGUGACUGAGUGGCGGACGGGUGAGUAACGCGUGUGUAACCUGACUUGUACAGGUGGAUAACAGUUGGAAACGGCUGCUAAUACCGCAUAAGCGCACAUCAUCGCAUUAUGCAGUGUGCAAAACUCGGGGGGGAUAAGAUGGACGCGCGUUGGCUUAGGUAGUUGGUGAGGGAACUGCCCACCAAGGCGGCGAUCCCUAGCUGAACUGGGAGGGUGCCCGGUUACGACGGGGAUGAGACACGGCCUAAACUCCUACGCAACGGAGGAGUGGGGUAUAUUGCACAAUGGACGAAGGUGUGAUGCCGCGACGCCGGGUAAGCGAAGAAGUAUUUUGGUAUGUAAAGCUCUAUCAGAAGGGGAGAUAAUGACGGUACCUGACUAAGAAGCACCGGCUAACUACGUG
rnacentral:rRNA from 1 species